rnacentral:rRNA from 1 species
UAAUUGAAGAAUUGAAUGAAUGGAUUAAUGAAAUAAUAACUGUCUCUAAAUUAUUUAAUGAAUUUAGAUUUUUAGUAAAAAUUCUAAAAUUUAAUUAUGGGACGAUAAGACCCUAUAGAAUUUUAUUUAAUUUAUUAUUUAUAUAAAUAUUAAUAUGUAAUUAAUAAUUUAAAUUUGAUUGGGAGGAUUAAUAAAUUUAAUAAACUUUAUUUGAUAAUUAAUUUUGAUUUAAAGAUAUAUUUUGAUUUAUAAAUUAUAAUUAUAAGAAUAAAUUACCUUAGGGAUAACAGCGUAAUAUCUUUUGAUAGACCGUAUAGAUAAAGAUGAUUGCGACCUCGAUGUUG